UCGUAACAAGGUCUCCGUUGGUGAACCAGCGGAGGGAUCAUUACCGAGUUUACAACUCCCAAACCCAAUGUGAACCAUACCAAACUGUUGCCUCGGCGGGGUCACGCCCCGGGUGCGUCGCAGCCCCGGAACCAGGCGCCCGCCGGAGGGACCAACCAACCAAACUCUUUUCUGUAGUCCCCUCGCGGACGUUAUUUCUUACAGCUCUGAGCAAAAAUUCAAAAUGAAUCAAAACUUUCAACAACGGAUCUCUUGGUUCUGGCAUCGAUGAAGAACGCAGCGAAAUGCGAUAAGUAAUGUGAAUUGCAGAAUUCAGUGAAUCAUCGAAUCUUUGAACGCACAUUGCGCCCGCCAGUAUUCUGGCGGGCAUGCCUGUCCGAGCGUCAUUUCAACCCUCGAACCCCUCCGGGGGGUCGGCGUUGGGGACCUCGGGAGCCCCUAAGACGGGAUCCCGGCCCCGAAAUACAGUGGCGGUCUCGCCGCAGCCUCUCCUGCGCAGUAGUUUGCACAACUCGCACCGGGAGCGCGGCGCGUCCACGUCCGUAAAACACCCAACUUCUGAAAUGUUGACCUCGGAUCAGGUAGGAAUACCCGCUGAACCUAAGCAUAUC
rnacentral:misc_RNA from 1 species